UACGGGGGGGGCGAGCGUUAAUCGGAAUGACUGGGCGUAAAGGGCGCGUAGGUGGUGAGAUAAGAUGUAUGUGAAAUCCCUGGGCUUAACCUAGGAAUGGCAUAGAUGACUGUCUCGCUAGAGUAUUGUAGAGGGUAGUGGAAUUUCCGGUGUAGCGGUGAAAUGCGUAGAGAUCGGAAGGAACAUCAGUGGCGAAGGCGGCUACCUGGACAAAUACUGACACUGAGGCGCGAGAGCGUGGGGAGCAAACAGG
rnacentral:rRNA from 1 species